AUUGAACGCUAGCGGGAUGCUUUACACAUGCAAGUCGAACGGCAGCUCGUACUUCGGUCUGGCUGCGAGUGGCGGACGGGUGAGUAAUGUAUCGGAACGUGCCCAGUAGCGGGGGAUAACUACGCGAAAGCGUAGCUAAUACCGCAUACGCCCUACGGGGGCAACCAGAGGAUCGUAAGACCUUGCACUCUUGGAGCAGCCGAUAUCGGAUUAGCUAGUUGGUGAGGUAACGGCUCACCAAGGCGACGAUCCGUAGCUGGUUUGAGAGGACGACCAGCCACACUGGGACUGAGACACGGCCCAGACUCCUACGGGAGGCAGCAGUGGGGAAUGUUGGACAAUGGGGGCAAGCCUGAUCCAGCCAUCCCGCGUGUGCGAUGAAGGCCUUCGGGUUGUAAAGCACUUUUGGCAGGAAAGAAACGGCGCGGGCUAAUACCCCGUGGAACUGACGGUACCUGAAGAAUAAGCACCGGCUAACUACGUG
rnacentral:rRNA from 1 species